rnacentral:rRNA from 1 species
UACAGAGGAGCCAAGCGUUGUCCGGAUUGACUGGGCGUAAAGCGCACGCAGGCGGCUGUGCGCGUGGGGUGUGCAAAUCUGGCCGCUUAACGGCCAGGCGCCAUCCCAUACGGCACGGCUGGAGCCUUGCAGAGGUCGGUGGAAUUGCCGGUGUAGUGGUGAAAUGCGUAGAGAUCGGCAGGAACACCCAGGGGGAAACCAGCCGACUGGGCAAGUGCUGACGCUGAGGUGCGAGAGCGUGGGGAGCGAACCGG